UACGUACCCUUGAAAUCGCGAAACGUUCCCUCAGUCGUCAUCGAAGUUUCAUGGGCGUCGCAUGCUUCGCGAGUCUCGCCUCUGCGCGUCUAGUGUGUUUUUGUCUGGUCCUCUCACCGGUGUGCGUGUGUGCGCGCGUGUGUGUGUGUUUUACGUUAGCGCAACCUGCUUGAAAUAACGCUCGAGCGUUUGGAACAACAAGAACGAAAGAGGAAACCAAUGAGUGUUGAUCUCCUCGAAACGCGGACCUAACCUCGAGCAUGUUCGCCUGGACGAGCGACUAACCACCCUGCGGGAACAGUUGGCCAGUUUGAGUGUACAAUGCGGUGAUUUCAGGAGGGACGGGACAUCUGGAGAAAACUAGAGCGCAGUGCUACAAGCGAUUUUUAUGCAAACGAAGGGGGAAAUCCGCGAGAACGAGAGACGAGAAUGUAAUUUCUUCGCGUGGGUGGAAAGUGGCACUUUUUUUUUUUUUUUACCUGUCUUCUCGUAUCCUUUGCACUGAAAAAGGAAGGAG